ACCGCCCGUCACACCAUGGGAGUGGGGUUCACCAGAAGCAGGUUGCCCAACCGCAAGGAAGGCGCCUACCACGGUGAGCUUCAUGACUGGGGUG
rnacentral:rRNA from 1 species